rnacentral:rRNA from 1 species
ACGGAAGGCAGCAGCUAAGAAUAUUCCGCAAUGGACGAGAGUCUGACGGAGCGACGCCGCGUGGAUGAUGAAGGUCGGAAGAUUGUAAAAUCCUUUUAUAACUGAGGAAUAAGCAGUGUGAGAGAAACGCAUUGUGGUGACUGUAGGUUAUGAAUAAGCAACGGCUAAUUACGUGCCAGCAGCCGCGGUAACACGUAAGUUGCGAGCGUUGUUCGGAAUUAUUGGGCGUAAAGGGCAUGUAGGCGGUUUUGCAAGCUUGGUGUGAAAUCUCGGAGCUCAACUCCGAAAUUGCGUUGAGAACUGCAUGACUGGAGUCACUGAGGGGCAAUCAGAAUUCCAGGUGUAGGGGUGAAAUCUGUAGAUAUCUGGAAGAAUACCAAUGGCGAAGGCAGGUUACCAGCAGAUGACUGACGCUGAGGUGCGAAGGUGCGGGGAGCAAACAGGAUUAGAUACCCUGGUA